UAGGUGAACCACCUUAAAGAAAUGAAAUGACACUGAGAUUUGGUAAAGAUCUAUAUAAAAAACUGCAUCAAACGAUAAGCUUUAUAUGCAAAUGGAUGUAAUAGGCUGAUGUGGAAAUUUUUGUCAAUUAUUGUUUCAAUCUUAACAAAACAAGCAAGAGUAGAGCUAAGAGUAGAGCCUCUGUAAAUAGAUUAGUAGGCAAAGAUAUGUAGAACCAAUAGCACAUGAUGUGUUGGUCUAAAAUGGCGGGCAGGACUACCCCUAUUCCUUCUUCCGUUUGGGUAGUAGUGGCUGCUAUAAAAGAAAAAGGCAUAGGAGGGGAAGAAGAAGUGGGGUUGCCUGCAUCUAC